rnacentral:rRNA from 1 species
AUGCAGUCGUACGAUGAAGCCCUUCGGGGUGGAUUAGUGGCGAACGGGUGAGUAACACGUGGGCAAUCUGCCCUUCACUCUGGGACAAGCCCUGGAAACGGGGUCUAAUACCGGAUAACACUCUCUUCCUCCUGGGAGAGGGUUGAAAGCUCCGGCGGUGAAGGAUGAGCCCGCGGCCUAUCAGCUAGUUGGUGGGGUAAUGGCCUACCAAGGCGACGACGGGUAGCCGGCCUGAGAGGGCGACCGGCCACACUGGGACUGAGACACGGCCCAGACUCCUACGGGAGGCAGCAGUGGGGAAUAUUGCACAAUGGGCGAAAGCCUGAUGCAGCGACGCCGCGUGAGGGAUGACGGCCUUCGGGUUGUAAACCUCUUUCAGCAGGGAAGAAGCGAAAGUGACGGUACCUGCAGAAGAAGCGCCGGCUAACUACGUGCCAGCAGCCGCGGUAAUACGUAGGGCGCAAGCGUUGUCCGGAAUUAUUGGGCGUAAAGAGCUCGUAGGCGGCUUGUCACGUCGGUUGUGAAAGCCCGGGGCUUAACCCCGGGUCUGCAGUCGAUACGGGCAGGCUAGAGUGUGGUAGGGGAGAUCGGAAUUCCUGGUGUAGCGGUGAAAUGCGCAGAUAUCAGGAGGAACACCGGUGGCGAAGGCGGAUCUCUGGGCCAUUACUGACGCUGAGGAGCGAAAGCGUGGGGAGCGAACAGGAUUAGAUACCCUGGUAGUCCACGCCGUAAACGUUGGGAACUAGGUGUUGGCGACAUUCCACGUCGUCGGUGCCGCAGCUAACGCAUUAAGUUCCCCGCCU